GGAAAAGUGAAAUCAGAAGAAAGUAACGAAGAAAAAACAAACACAGUAACAACACCAAGACAGAGAGGUUCCAUAAGGAUGCGCAAGAACAUCAGUGGAAGCAUUUUUAGGCCAUGUGGCACCAGAUGUAAACCACCAAAAGCCUUUCCAAGAUUUACCAUAUUUGGUGGCAUUUCUUUGUCCACGUGACCUGAAAUACAACGUCAACCCCUUUGAAAUUGAGGGAUAUUGUGUAGUGUCGUUGAGAUAGUCUACUCCCAAUCCUUGCUUAUAUAUAGCAUGGCCCAUGCUCAGGGUGUUGUAAUGGUCACCAUUAUCGUCAUCUAACAACACUGUUUUGUAUCCUUUUGCAUCGCGAUAUAAAAAAGAAUCUUGGUUCCUUUUUGGAGGCUGACCAACCAAAGUCUUGGGGUUCCAUGAUUUGGAAUUCUUUAUCUAAGUUAAAAAUAGCAUGUAAUUGCAUAAAAAGAUUUACUAGAUUCAAUUUUAUACAAGCAAGUUUUUUAUUACAAAGAACAGUUCAUAGUAAACAUAGCUUCUACAGAGCCUGUUUUUCCAUCAAUGAAAAUUUGAGAUCUCGCUUUUUAGACCUCGUGAAAAUAUUUUUUCCGUACGAACCUCCCAUACGGUAAAUAACAUAUUUAUUUUUUUAUUUUUAUUAUGAAAAUUCGCGUUGUAAAAUGGCCGAUGGCCCGAUGCAACUUGAUGCUGAGACAAAAAUUGGAUUGUUUUCUACAACCUUCGCUUCGUCUGGAUAGGAAAAUUCAUUUUUGCUAUGAUAACUUUCAUCUGAAUACACUUUGCUUUCUCGUAGAACAAUUUACGUCGCUUUUAAAUCAUAUUUGAAAAUUUACAUUUCACUUUGUAACAAAUACAUUUCGAAAAAAAUA